UCCCUCUUAGCUCAGUGGUAGAGCGCGUCACUAGUAUGGGGACCGUACAUGCGAAAUGACGAGGUCAGUCGUUCAAGUCGGCUAGAGGGAA